UACGUAGGGGGCGAGCGUUAUCCGGAAUUAUUGGGCGUAAAGCGCGCGCAGGCGGCUGAUUAAGUCAGGUGUGAAAGGCUGCGGCUCAACCGCAGAGCGGCACCUGAAACUGGUCAGCUUGAGUGCAGGAGAGGGGAGCGGAAUUCCAGGUGUAGCGGUGAAAUGCGUAGAUAUCUGGAGGAACACCGGUGGCGAAGGCGGCAUCCUGGACCAACACUGACGCUGAGGAGCGAAAGCCAGGGGAGCAAACGGG
rnacentral:rRNA from 1 species